rnacentral:RNase_P_RNA from 1 species
GACGGUGUCCAAACGAUCGCUGGAUACGAUAUCCGGAGGAAAGUCCGAACACCGGAGGGCAGGGUGCUCCAUAACAUGGAGUCACGGUAACGUGAAGGCUCGUGCCACAGAAACGAUACCGCCCCGCACUCACUUUUGCUGUUAAAUGUUGGACAGGGUCAAGCCGUUGACGGCAGAAGCGAGUGCGGGGUAAGGGUGCAACGGUGCGGUAAGAGCGCACCAGGUCCCCGGGCGACCGGGGAUGCUCGGUAAACCCCACCCGGUGCAAGACCAAGUAGGGAAGCGUUCGAGGGUGGCCCGCCCAAAGCUUCCGGGUAGGUCGCAAGAGGCGACGGGCAACCGUUGUCCACAGAUGAAUGAUCGUUGUCCGCUUCAGGCUAACCUGCUGCGGAAACAGAAUUCGGCUUACGGACACCGUCAACC